rnacentral:rRNA from 1 species
AUGGCGGAGCUUGUGGCCACCAUGGUGGUCGGACCACUGCUCUCCAUGGUGAAGGAGAAGGCGUCCAGCUACCUCCUCGACCAGUACAAGGUGAUGAAGGGCAUGGAGGAGCAACAUGAUAUCUUGAAGCGCAAACUGCUGCUCAUCUUGGAUAUCAUCACCGACGCCGAGCAAGUGGCAGCCGAAUCUGCGCAGGCAGCAGCCCGCAAAGCAGGAGUUACGGCCUGGCUCGAGGCCACAAAGAAGGUGGCUUAUGAGGCGAAUGAAGUCUUUGAUGAGUUCAAGUAUGAGGCACUUCGUCGCCAAGCAAAAAGGAACGGGCACUACAGGGAGCUUGGCUUCCAUGUGGUAAAACUCUUUCCCACUCACAACCGUUUUGUAUUCCGUAACAGGAUGGGAAGAAAGCUCUGCAAGGUUGUUCGGGACAUUGAUGUCCUUGUGAAUGAAAUGAAUGCCUUUGGCUUUCAAAAUCAGCAACGACAGCCAGUAACCAACCAGUGGCGGGAGAUGGAUAACGAUAUCUUCGAUGUGAAGAACAUCACAAGCAGAUCGAGGGAGAAUGAUAACAAGAAUGUUGUUGAUAUUAUAGUUGGUCAGGCCAACAAUGCAGAUCUCACGGUUGUUCCCAUCGUUGGAAUGGGGGAUCUGGGCAAGACCACGUUAGCACAACUUGUUUACAAUGACCCUGAAAUUCAGAAGCAUUUCAAUAUGCUGCUAUGGGUGUGUGUCUCUGACGUCUUUGAUGUGGAUUCUCUGGCAAAAAGUAUAGUUGAUGCAGCUCCUGGGAAGAAAGACGAUGGUACAGAAGCACUUGCUUCAAAGAAGAAGAAUGAUGGUACAGAAGCGGCAGCUUCCAAGAAGAAGACACCGCUGGAUAUCCUUCAAAAUGUUGUGAGUGGGCAUAGGUACCUCCUUGUAUUGGAUGAUGUCUGGACAAGAGAGGUUCAUAAAUGGGAAAAGCUCAAGGCACGCCUUGAACAUGGUGGCAUGGGUAGCGUGGUCUUGACAACUACUCGUGAUCAAGGAGUGGCUGAAAUAAUGGGCACUGUUGAACCUUAUAAUCUCAAAGCCUUGGAAGAAAAAUAUAUAAAGGAAAUAAUUGAGACAAGAGCAUUCAGUUGUUUUCAGAGGAAAGAGGACAGGCCGAUCACAUUGGUGAAUAUGGUUGGUGAGAUUGUGAAGAGAUGUGUUGGGUCUCCUUUAGCUGCAACAGCACUGGGCUCCGUACUGCGUACCAAGACUAGUGAGGAAGAAUGGAAGGCUAUAUCAAGAAGAAGUAGCAUUUGCACCGAGGAGAUUGGAAUCUUACCAAUACUCAAGCUUAGUUACAACGACUUGCCGUCACAUAUGAAGCAAUGCUUUGCUUAUUGUGCUAUAUUUCCCAAAGAUUACGAGAUUGAUGUGGACAAGCUGAUCCAACAAUGGAUUGCACAUGGCUUUAUUAUUGAAGAAAAGCAUGUUCGUCUUGAAACCAUCGGGAAACAUGUUUUCAAGGAGCUGACCUCAAGGUCAUUCUUUCAGGAUGUGAAACAAGCCCGAGCCACAGUUAAGGAGAUUGAAGAAACUGGCUUGUGUUAUUGCAGAACUACAUGUAAAAUCCAUGAUCUUAUGCAUGAUGUUGCACUGUCUGUAAUGCAAAAGGAGUGUGCCUUGGCAACUGAGGAACCAAGUCAGAGUGAGUGGCUUCCAAACACUGCUCAACAUUUAUUUUUGUCAUGCAAGAAACCAGGAAAACAAUUGAAUAUUUCUAUGCAGAAUAGCUCUCCAGCUAUCCAAACACUUAUGUGUGAUAGUUAUAUGGAAAAUUCGUUGCAGCAUCCGUUGAAAUACAAUGCUUUGCAAGUAUUACAGUUCCGUUCAUACAGAAGCUCAUUUCCACUAAAACCAGACCAUCUACAUCACCUGAGGUACCUAGAUCUCUCAGGAAGUUAUAUCAAAGCACUUCCUGACGAUUUCAGCAUUUUGUAUAACCUGCAAACGCUGAACCUCUCUUGCUGCGAAUAUCUUGCUCGACUUCCCAGACAACUGAAGUAUAUGACUGCCCUUCGUCACCUGUACACUCAUGGUUGCCCACAGCUGAAGAGCAUGCCUAGAGACCUCACUGAACUUACAUCCCUACAGACACUUACAUGUUUUGUAGCAGGUAGUGGCUCUAAAUGCAGUAAUGUUGGAGAGCUUGGGAAUUUAAACCUUGGUGGUCAACUAGAGCUACGUAAUCUAGAGAAUGCGACAGAAGAAGAUGCAACGGGGGCUAACCUUGUGAACAAGAAAGAACUAAGAGAACUGACAUUAAGAUGGUCUGCUGGAGGGAAUGAUGCAAGAGUACUGCUGGCGAAUCUCAAACCUCAUGAUGGGCUGCAUGCUAUAAGGAUACACUCCUAUGGAGCUACUACCUUUCCAACAUGGAUGGCUAUGUUGCAAAAUAUUGUUCAUAUGCAUCUCUUCCGUUGUGAAAAACUGCAGUGGUUGUUCAGCCAUGACAGUAACACAUCCUUCACAUUUCCAAAUUUGAAGGAGCUUACACUACAAGUUCUUGUCUCUUUAGAGAGAUGGUGGGAAACGGAUAAUGAUGGGAUGCAAGAAGAGAUAAUGUUUCCUCAGCUUGAGAAGUUGGUUAUUAGGCACUGUGGAAAGUUGACAGCAUUGCCAGGACAUCCGACCUUCCCUAACCUCCAGGACGUUCGCAUUAAGGGAUGUCCAGAAUUGAGAACUGAAGCUAAAUCACCAAAGCUCAGUGUAUUGAAGAUGGCAGGACGCGAGGUAGAGUUGUUCUUGUGGGUAGCGAGACAUAUGACUUCAUUGACCAAUCUGGAACUGACUAGCAUUGAACAUAGUACAGAUACAACCUCGAUGGGGGUUGAGAAUAGUUUGAGGGAAGUGGUGAACAUCAAGGAGAAUGGGAAUGCUCAAGACUUUCCUCUAGAAGUUUUGGUGUUAAUAGACUUUAAGUCAGGUGUAAGUGUAACGGAGCUGUGUGCAUGCUUUGUAUACCUUCAAGAUUUGUCAAUUGUGAGGUGCCAUACGCUCGUCCACUGGCCAGAAAAACUGUUUGACGGAUUGGUAUCCUUGAGGAAGCUUCUGAUUAGGCAAUGCAAUAAUUUGACUGGAUAUGCACAAGCUGCUGUUGAGCCAUCAACAUCAUCCGAAAUCAGUCAGCUCCUGCCACGUCUAGAGUAUCUGACGAUUAGUAAUUGUGAAAACUUGGUUGAGCUCUUCAACGUCCCUGCAUCUCUCAGGACAAUGUACAUUUCUAGUUGCAGAAAGCUUGAGUCUCCAUUCGGCAGGAAGCAGCAGCAGGGACAGUCAGUAUCAUCGAUUCAUCAAGGGUCAUCCAGUAUAGAAAAUUUAUCAUUAUACAGCUGUGACGGCUUAACAGGGGUCCUCUAUCUCCCCCGGUCCCUCAAGGGACUACACAUUGUUAACUGUGGUGGGUUGGCAUCUCUGGAAUCCUGCUCUACUGAGUUCCAAUCCUUGGAGUUCCUCGAGCUUUGGGAUUGCAAGACCCUGGAAUCCCUACCGGAUGUGGCGCAAGCAUACUCAUCUCUCCAAUAUCUUUGCAUUACAGUCUGCCCUGGUCUGAAGACGCUCCCUGCAAGCCUGCAGCAACGCCUUGGCAGCAUCCAGCAUGCAUACGUAGAUGCCCAUCUUUAUGGAAAUAAGCCUAUGCUGCUGAAGCCGAAGACAUGGAAGUAUGUCUGCAAAGGUUGA